AGCCCAGAGCCUGAAUCAGUGUGUGUGUUAGUGGAAGCGUCUGGAAAGGCGUGCGAUACAGGGUGACAGCCCCGUACACAAAAAUGCACAUGCUGUGAGCUCGAUGAGUAGGGCGGGACACGUGGUAUCCUGUCUGAAUAUGGGGGGACCAUCCUCCAAGGCUAAAUACUCCUGACUGACCGAUAGUGAACCAGUACCGUGAGGGAAAGGCGAAAAGAACCCCGGCGAGGGGAGUGAAAAAGAACCUGAAACCGUGUACGUACAAGCAGUGGGAGCACAGAGCAAUCUGUGUGACUGCGUACCUUUUGUAUAAUGGGUCAGCGACUUAUAUUCUGUAGCAAGGUUAACCGAAUAGGGGAGCCGAAGGGAAACCGAGUCUUAACUGGGCGUUAAGUUGCAGGGUAUAGACCCGAAACCCGGUGAUCUAGCCAUGGGCAGGUUGAAGGUUGGGUAACACUAACUGGAGGACCGAACCGACUAAUGUUGAAAAAUUAGCGGAUGACUUGUGGCUGGGGGUGAAAGGCCAAUCAAACCGGGAGAUAGCUGGUUCUCCCCGAAAGCUAUUUAGGUAGCGCCUCGUGAAUUCAUCUCCGGGGGUAGAGCACUGUUUCGGCAAGGGGGUCAUCCCGACUUACCAACCCGAUGCAAACUGCGAAUACCGGAGAAUGUUAUCACGGGAGACACACGGCGGGUGCUAACGUCCGUCGUGAAGAGGGAAACAACCCAGACCGCCAGCUAAGGUCCCAAAGUCAUGGUUAAGUGGGAAACGAUGUGGGAAGGCCCAGACAGCCAGGAUGUUGGCUUAGAAGCAGCCAUCAUUUAAAGAAAGCGUAAUAGCUCACUGGUCGAGUCGGCCUGCGCGGAAGAUGUAACGGGGCUAAACCAUGCACCGAAGCUGCGGCAGCGACGCUUAUGCGUUGUUGGGUAGGGGAGCGUUCUGUAAGCCUGCGAAGGUGUGCUGUGAGGCAUGCUGGAGGUAUCAGAAGUGCGAAUGCUGACAUAAGUAACGAUAAAGCGGGUGAAAAGCCCGCUCGCCGGAAGACCAAGGGUUCCUGUCCA
rnacentral:rRNA from 1 species